UACUAGCUGCCUCAUUUAAGUGAAAAAUCCAGAAGUUUAUAUGUUGUCAUCAUGACUAACAAGCCAUCAAUCAUUCUGUGUAAUUAUAUUCUUUAAUUUAUCCCAAUGUUGAAAUACUGGCAUUCUCUUUACCUCAAUAGUACAUGCAAAAGACACAGUCCCUGCCUUACUGGUCUGUCUUCUCAGUGUGAUGAGAGGGUAAUGAAACCAUGUGGGCAUCUGUAGCUGGUGGAUUAAUGAUAUUUUAGCAUGAGCUUUCCAUUUUCAUGCUGACACUUUCUUUAAUAGUGGUUAUUCUUGCUGGUGUCUAGUGUUAGAAUAAGCACACUUUAUUUUUUCCUCCCCAAACUCACCUGUAUCCAAAAGGAAUGCAUUGUAAAGGAAUGCAUUUAACUUUUUGUUAUGCUGAGUUGGAGUUGGCAUGGCAAAAAGAUGUUCUUGAAAUUCUCAACGUGAUCUCUGGUGCCAGGUGGCCGUUCUUCCCAUUAACGAUUGAGCGCCUCUUCUUUUCCGUCUUUUCUUUGUGUGCAUUGUUGUGUGUGUGUAACCCAGCCAAAGGAAGGACAAACAUGGAACUGCGUGAGAAGUUCAUUUUAGCAGAUGGUGCCAGCCAGGGUAUGGCUGCUUUCCGACCCCGAGGCCGAAGAUCCCGGCCAUCAUCACGAGGCGCUUCACCCAACAGAUCCACUUCUGUGUCCAGUCAGGCUGCGCAGGCGGCCUCCCCACAGGUCCCUGCCACCACCACACCCAAGAUUCUCCAUCCUUUAACACGCAAUUAUGGUAAACCAUGGUUGACAAACAGCAAAAUGUCAACUCCUUGUAAAGCAGCAGAGUGCUCAGACUUUCCCGUGCCAUCUGCAGAGGGAACGCCAAUACAAGGAAGCAAGCUUCGACUUCCAGGAUAUUUAUCAGGGAAAGGCUUCCACUCUGGGGAGGACAGUGGCUUGAUAACAACUGCAGCUGCCAGAGUCCGAACACAGUUUGCUGAUUCCAAGAAGACUCCCAGCCGACCAGGAAGUCGAGCUGGAAGCAAAGCUGGUAGCAGGGCCAGCAGCCGCCGAGGCAGUGAUGCAUCAGACUUUGACAUUUCAGAAAUCCAGUCCGUGUGCUCAGAUGUGGAAACUGUCCCCCAGACACACAGACCUACACCCCGAGCAGGUUCUCGGCCAUCCACAGCGAAGCCUUCAAAAAUCCCCACGCCUCAGAGGAAAUCACCUGCCAGCAAAUUGGACAAGUCCUCAAAGAGAUAGUGCAAUUGGUUCUACCAAGGCCCUUCCUUGAGCAUUUAUUAUUUAAGUUUGAACGAUGUAAAAUAUGGUGUAGAAAUUCUUGUGAAAUAUUGCAAGAGGCGAGUUUAAAAUUCUGCAGAUGGCCUUAUUUGUGUAUUUGUCUUUUUAUUUUAUCUGUAUAAUUUUUUUUGUCAGAUAUUCUGGGGUUAAAGUCACAUCAUAUGUGAGGAGGAAAAGUUUAACAUGAACUAACAUUUCUGCACUGUAACGUGCAGGGCACACACUAAACUCAGUUACUGUACCUACAGGUAAGUCUACAUCCUCUCUGACAGCCACAGCACUACAUCAAUCCCUGACAUUAGGGAUACCUCAUGACAUUUUCCUGUUUUUAUGGAAACUCUGAGAAGCUGAAUGAUACAUGCAGGGGAUAUUUUUUGAGAUGAUUUAAAUGUAAACCAAAAGAUGGAAGACAAAAAGACAAACACACCCACACGCAGUCUUUGCAGUAUCUGACAGAGAACUCACAGGAAGUUACUUCAAGCACUUGCCAGUACUAUGAUAUUCAAGUACCUUGCAGCAUUUCUGUGCCAUUGCUUUCAAUGAGGCCAGAGGCAUCCUGGAUAUUAGACCUAUUAUACUGUAAGAAUAUAAGUAUAAAGUGCAUUCAUAUACAUGUGAGGUUUUCUUUUGCUUGAGUGGACAGUAGCACCUGUAUCAUUGAACUCAUUUUGUAUCAGAGCAAUUUUGCUUGCAGAAAGCUAUGAAAUAAAACACGUCCCUUAACUGC
rnacentral:sRNA from 1 species